CCCUGUCCUUGCAGGACACCACGAGCAAAGCAGGUCCUGGCAAACCUGGAGCCGUUCCGGGUGUCCCGGGAGCAGUGCAUGAAGGCCCUGCAGAUCAACAAGCUGCGGAAAUGGUCCCAAGACAGUUCCUCUGCUUGGUGAAGCAGAAGGAGCUCCGUGACCCCAGAGAAGAGCAGAAGUGAGACGUGGGCUCAGGGCAGCCACAGUGCACCAGGAAAAAUGGAAUAAAGGAAUCCCUCACCUGGG